UACGUAGGGUGCAAGCGUUGUCCGGAAUUAUUGGGCGUAAAGAGCUCGUAGGCGGUUUGUCGCGUCGGCUGUGAAAUCCCGAGGCUCAACCUCGGGCCUGCAGUCGAUACGGGCAAACUAGAGUGUGGUAGGGGAGACUGGAAUUCCUGGUGUAGCGGUGAAAUGCGCAGAUAUCAGGAGGAACACCGGCGGCGAAGGCGGGUCUCUGGGCCAUAACUGACGCUGAGGAGCGAAAGCGUGGGUAGCAAACAGG
rnacentral:rRNA from 1 species